rnacentral:misc_RNA from 1 species
ACUUUAUUGGAGAAAUUGAAAUCGUUGUACUCAAACUUAGAAGGCCUUCCUCCUGAUCGAAUUGUUCCCACUGUUGGGCUUAACAUUGGUCGCAUUGAAGCUUCAAAUACAAAACUUGUAUUUUGGGACCUGGGUGGUCAGCACGGUCUUCGCUCAAUUUGGGAGAAAUAUUAUGAAGAGGCUCAUGCUGUUGUAUAUGUAAUUGAUGCUACUUGUCCUUCACGUUUUGAAGAUUCAAAGUCUGCAUUAGAAAAAGUUCUUAGGCAUGAGGAUUUGCAAGGAGCCCCCCUUUUGAUAUUAGCAAACAAGCAGGAUCUUUCUGAAGCUGUAUCAGCUGAAGAAAUUGCUCGAUAUUUGGAUCUGAAGAAGUUGGAUGAGAGGGUUUACAAGUUUGAAGCAGUUUCGGCAUAUGACGGGAAGGGUAUUAAAGAAAGUGUAGAAUGGCUUGUGGAGGUAAUGGAACGAAGCAAGAGAACAGAAAUGUUAAGAGCUCGAGCAGGUGUAACAGGCCCUGGUGCCUAGAGGAAACUAUAUCAAAUUGCAAUUGUUUGUCUGCCUUUGUUGCAUGUAAAUAAACAGGAUUUACUUUAGAUUCUACAUGGCCACGAGGUAAUCCAUCUUUUCGCAUCUGCAUUAGAGCUGCCCUUGUUCGUUUGCUCAAUGGUGACUGGCUAGCGACUACAUUUCAGAUGAUAUUUUUAUUUUAAAUCGAUCUAUUUUUAUUUUGAAUUAAUCAGCAAAGGAGUAAAAAAGGGAACCGUUUAAUCUGUGCUAAAAAGAGACUGAAGGUUGUUGGUGUAAUAUUUUAUGCAUUUGGCUAUUGAAAUAUCUUUAUUUUACCUCUGGUUUCUGAAGAUUGCAUGUUUCUUGAAAUGUUUCUCAUUCAACAGAAUACUAGAAAUGAUCAACGUUUUGGCUCUAUUCAAACUCGAGGAAUGCUAAAAUUAUCCCCAAUACAACUUUAAAGAGAGUCCACAUUGGCCUCGAGUUGGUAAUUGCUCAUGGUGUGGCUCCUGUGUGGACUGUCCUUAAAAUUUGUGGACGAGUUCGGUAGUAAGGUCAAUGUACCCUGCAGCAUUGGCUCUUUCCUUCAGUGCCGGUUGUGGUUCUGAAAAGAAGAAAAAUAAAAAUAGUAAAGAAAUUUGAAUAUUUGUUUGUGAGGUAAUGGCUCCUUUAAAAUUGAACGCCAUACUUUAAAAAAAGAUCAAACGGAAAGGCUAAAGAGCACAACGAAUAUUGAAAAAUUCACAGCUUGCUCAGUACACAGCUCUAAAAUAUCCAGAUAUUGGUGAGAAAACAUUUCAAUACGAUUAUAGGCACUGAAGAUUAGGCACGAAACCCAUUGGAUUAUCUAAGUUGGUUUUAGGUACUAGGGAGCUAUUAGAAGCAAAGGGAAGUAUGUAGUCACAAGCAGAUUAACUUUGCAUACGCUUUUAUACUAUGCUCAGAAAUACAGACAAACAAAAAAAUGCGAGAAUUUUAAAAGCUUUAUUUCACGGUUGAGGCCACUGUACAUCACAAAUUCUUACUUUCGAAAUCCAAAAGACAAGGAAUUUGUCUGUUAAAAGGAUGAGAUAUAACAACGGCUGUGAAGACAAGCUAAGAUAUACAAAUUGAUAAGAUAAAAUAACAAGUUUUUGGCCAAUGGAAAUAGAAACAGGUGCAUUAGUUUGGCGUUCAAUUUGAAAGCAACAGAAGAAACAUUGUGAUAUUCUAUUCCAUAGUCUAAGAAAAGAACCAAGAUGUUUUGAGAUGACGCAAAAAUCACCAUACAAACUGCAGAACCCCUACCUGACUCUGAGAAUUGCCCCAGACUUCACCAGCCCACUGGUAUGCGCCUUGGAAACCUCAAUUGCCCAGACCUUUUCACUUGGAAGAAAAAGGGAAAAAAAAAAACCUAUACUACGGACUAUUUCUCCUACACAAUUGAACCACCUCCGCUAUAGGGCAUAUGAAUUUCUGAUUCCAUUGGCACAAAUUUAAGCGAAAGGGAAAAGAAACUGGCAUACAUCAAUAUCAACUUCUACUCAUUUUCCUAUAUGCAUAUUACCCUUUAUCAAAUCCCUUCCAUUUCUUUUCUCUUUAUUAGCCAGUAGCAAUACAUUGAGAAAGAAAGUGGGGUAUACUUUAGACAAUAUAACUUACUUGAUAUCAAGGCCCUGGGUCUGGUCUUGAACAAAAUCUUGUGGCGGAUGACGCCGAUGACAUCCAAUUCUACCUCAGCUGAGCUGUUGUCACUGCCCUGGUCCACAUCCAUAUACUUGACUUUCUUCAAAACCAACAAUGGCUUCUUCAAGGUGACCUUAGACCCAGUCAAUUCAUGAUACCCAACCGUGAAAGUGUAGUUUUCCUGGAGUAAGCAACCCGAAAAAAUGAAAAAUAAAAAAUCGUCUACAAUCUUCAUUUGAGAGGCGAAUCGAAUAAGAAUUGCAUAUGUUAAGACCUGUAAAGAAGGGCGGCAAAGCUCCCCAAUCACGAGAUUUUGAAGGCGAUCUUGAAACGACGGCUGAACUUCAACUACGCCUUGCAAUUCUACAAUCGCCCAUUCUGGGCAGCUCUCUGCCCCGCAACUACACCUCACUUGGAUCUGCAUUAUUCUUUAUUUUACGCUGUAUUUUUUCUCUACCUAAUUGGUUACACAAAUGAAAUUAUAUAAAGACCAAAAGGAAUUAAUUUGGGAAUUUGGCGGUAAACUGAGUGCGAUUCCCGC